rnacentral:lncRNA from 1 species
CAAACAUAUAAAUAAGAAUACAAAUUAGUUACUUCAUUGGUUUAUUCCUUGCAAAAGACUUAUCCUGCUGCACAUUAUGAAGCCUUAUUGAGAUAUCCAACAUCUUCAUCUUUAAAGAGUGUUCUUGUUCCAUUCUCAACUGCAUUGAGUGUUACAUCUUCAGCUGCUACAAAUGUCCCACGACCUCCACAACAAGAUGUGCAAUCUUCUGCUGACAACAUAUGGUGCCUAUAGGAGAUAUAGGGACCAGCACCCUGGACCGAUUAGCAAUCGGUCAUAUUUGCGAUGGGUCCGGUUAGAAGGGAAUGAUGGUGAAUCAUUCAGCUGGGCCUAUCAUCCUCCUAACAGGGGUGCUGGGAGCUACAGCAGAAGAGAAAGCCAUGGUGGAGGUCGCGGGCGAAGAC